rnacentral:rRNA from 1 species
GACGGGGGGGGCAAGUGUUCUUCGGAAUGACUGGGCGUAAAGGGUGCGUAGGUGGCGCCGUAAGUCAGGUGUGAAAUCUCGGGGCUUAACUCGAAACUGCAUUUGAUACUGCGGUGCUUGAGGACUGGAGAGGAGACUGGAAGUUUACGGUGUAGCAGUGAAAUGCGUAGAGAUCGUAAGGAAGACCGGUGGCGAAGGCGGGUCUCUGGACAGUUCCUGACACUGAGGCACGAAGGCCAGGGGAGCAAACGGG